rnacentral:rRNA from 1 species
UACGGAGGGUGCAAGCGUUAUCCGGAUUUACUGGGCUUAAAGGGUGCGUAGGCGGAUAGGUAAGUCCGUGGUGAAAUCCUGCAGCUUAACUGCAGAACUGCCGUGGAUACUAUCUAUCUUGAAUGUCGUGGAGGUUAGCAGAAUAUGUCAUGUAGCGGUGAAAUGCUUAGAUAUGACAUAGAAUACCCAUUGCGAAGGCAGCUAACUACGCGAUAAUUGACGCUGAUGCACGAAAGCGUGGGGAUCAAACAGG